rnacentral:rRNA from 1 species
UAGGAAAUAUAAUUUUAAGGUAGUUAUCUGAAUUAGCAUAUAAGGUGUAUUAUUUAAGAUGUCUGUUAGGUAUAUUCUGUUGGGAAUAAGUAAUUAGUAGAAAAGAAUCGUUUAGUUCUGGUACUUUUUGCAUCAUGGCUUAUAGAGUGAGAUAAGUUUGGUUGAUUCCUGAAAGCCCUUGAGCUUUCCUGACUAAAGAGAGAAUUAUAAUGGCCUUAGGGGGAAUAAAAUAUUUUAGGACUUUUAUGAGCAUUUCUAUUAAACUAAUGUUGUAGAAUUAAUUUUAAGGUUAGGAAAGGUGUGAAAUGCUAUUCGUAAGGGUUGGUAGCUGGUUAGAGGGGAAACAUAUAUCAGUAUGGGGCUAAAUAAAUAUUUUUCUUAUAAUAAAGUGAAAAUUGUUUAGUACUUAUGUUAUUGGGUUCCGCUCGGUAAUAUAAAUAGUGAGAAUUAAUUGUUUAGUAGGAUUAGUAGUGUUCAUCUAUAUAAUAUUAGUAUAAAAUAACUAAGUUAAGAAUUUUUAAUUAGGUACCCUUUUACUGUGUAAAAUGUCUAUACAUUUAAUUAGUAUAAGAUUAGUAGAUUAGCGGUUUAAUAAUAUAUCCAUUUACAUGAAAAGUGGAAGUUUAUGAUUUAAGUAGUAGGUAGUAUAUAAACGUGGGUACUACACCACAUUUACAUACUGUUGUAAAAAAUUAUUCUUAAUGAACUCGGCAAAUAUUUUCUGCGCCUGUUUACUAAAAACAUCGCCUCUUGAUUUUUGUUGAAAAGGGGUCUGUCCUGCCCGGUGAGCAAUAGCUUUAACGGUCGCAGUUAAAACUGUGCUAAGGUAGCGCAAUCAAUCGUCCUUUAAUUGGGGAAAGGUAUGAAGGAUUGACGUGGAAAGUCUUUAUUAAGAGUAUAUAUUGAAUUUUACAUCUUGGUGCAAAGGCUAAGAUAAUAUUGUUAGACGAGAAGACCCUAUUGAGCUUGGUAUAAUUCUUAGGUAAGUUUACUUAUUUAAGGGUAGCAUGUUUUUUCGGGAAAGCUAGGGAGGAAAAACUAUGCCUCCCUUUUUAAUAUGCAGAUCCAGCAUGGCUGAUAAAAAGAAGAUAGUUACCAUAGGGAUAACAGCACAAUCGCCCCGACGAGGUCUUAUUUGAGGGGCGGUUUGUAACCUCGAUGUUGAAUUAAGAUUUCUUCUAGGUGUAGCAGCUUAGAAAGUGGGACUGUUCGUCCUUUAAAAUCUUACAUGAUUUGAGUUUAGACCGGCGUGAGCUAGGUCAGUUUCUAUCUACAUGUUAAUUGUCUUUGUACGAAAGGAUCGGACUGUGUAACUAUAAUGUUGUUAAUGAAUUUAUAAUAUUAAU